UACGAAGGGGGCGAGCGUUGUUCGGAUUUACUGGGCGUAAAGGGCGCGCAGGCGGCUUUGUUUGUCAGGCGUGAAAGCCCCGGGCUUAACCUGGGAACUGCGUUUGAUACGGCAGGGCUAGAGUUCGGGAGAGGAGAGUGGAAUUCCCAGUGUAGAGGUGAAAUUCGUAGAUAUUGGGAAGAACACCGGUGGCGAAGGCGGCUCUCUGGACCGAUACUGACGCUGAGGCGCGAAAGCGUGGGGAGCAAACGGG
rnacentral:rRNA from 1 species